CAUCCAGCCGGCCGCCGGCCUGAGCUCCGCCGCAUCUGAGUCCGGCUCCUGGGCUCGGGCCGCCGCCCCGCAUCCGGCUCCUGGUCACGCCGCAUCCGCGCAUCGGGCCUUGGUCGCGCCGCCGUCUCCCAUCCACAGGCGGGGGUGUGCGCGCGGGGCACGCCAAGGAAAUGCCACCCGCGGCGGCGCGCGGCGGCUGGGCGACGCCACGAGCUCGGCGGCCGAGUGACGAGACGCGCGACGGCAGAGCCAGGAAACGGCCCGCGCCUCUUCAGGAGCGAUGUUAGCCCCCCUUCGUCCAUGGCUUCGUGAAGGCAAUCAGACCAUGGCUUCUUUAUGCAUCCACCACUCUCAUAUCCACCGCUGGUAGAAGGAAGAAUCAGAGGUUCAAAAGGAGUAGUGAAGGAGGGAGUACAACACGCAGAAAGGGGCAGCAUAGAUGUGAUGUCUGUGGUGGAUUUGGACACCGUUGGUACACAUGCAAAGAUGGUAACCCAGAAGACAAAGCUGCCUUGCUAGCUGAAAGGGGCCCACCCAAGAAGAGAAAGAAGAAAACAAAUUAAGCCACUAAUGAAAGCACUGAAAUUGUAGCUAUUUCAGCCCGCCCUACACCGAUGUAUUUUCCUCCUAGUCAAGGAUGCUCCACUAACAUAAUCAUAAGCAAAUGGACAACUGAAAAGUCUGCAUGUGCCUCAAGCCAACCUGAUGCACUCUCCAUAGGACCACCAGUAGCUCCCUUGCAGCCAACAGUGAAGAAAAAGAGAGUAGGGAAAGCAAAGGAAGACAAGCCAAAGGGUGCAAACAAGACAAAGGGUGCAAACAAGCCAAAGGGUGCAACAAAGCAGAAGCAAGCUUUGGUGCCUGUUCCACCUCAAAGUCCUGCCAUGUGCACCAGGAGCAAAGCACCGGAAAGCCCCACAAUGUCCACUAGAAGCAAGCGAAAAAUUCUGGAUUGACUAUUCAUGACAAGUCUGUGAGACUAUUCAUAUGUAUGGUAUGCUGAUCUGUGACAUGAGACAUUAGUUGCUCUUAGGUUGAUGAGAAACUUGAUACUGUAUGGCAUGCUGCAGUCUAGUUGCUGCCACUAUCUCUUGACAUGUAUGCUAUGCAUGAAACUCAUUUUCAAUGAGAAAACUUAUGCUCAUAUUUCA